CGGGGCGUGGCGCAGCCAGGUAGCGCGCUUCGUUCGGGACGAAGAGGUCCCCGGUUCAAAUCCGGGCGCCCCGA
rnacentral:tRNA from 1 species